rnacentral:rRNA from 1 species
UCCGUAGGGUGCAAGCGUUGUCCGGAAUUAUUGGGCGUAAAGAGCUCGUAGGCGGUCUGUCACGUCGGCUGUGAAAUCCCGAGGCUCAACCUCGGGUCUGCAGUCGAUACGGGCAAACUAGAGUAUUGCAGGGGAGACUGGAAUUCCUGGUGUAGCGGUGAAAUGCGCAGAUAUCAGGAGGAACACCAGUGGCGAAGGCGGCUCUCUGGGCAGAUACUGACGCUGAGACGCGAAAGCAUGGGGAGCAAACAGG